ACAAUAUUGUAUGGGGUAUUAUCUGACCUGACUGCUGCUGUACGUCUUCAUCAUCGUCUCCAACUAGUUGCUGUUCUUCAGCUAAAAAAAGCCAAUAAUUAUAGGAUCUGGGGAAAUAUAAAUGAUCCUGCAUAUAAAGCUGGCCAUAAACUAGCCUUGCCUGUGGUCCUGGUUUAUACGUGAUGGGGCAACAUCUUCAUAAAAUUUGUAUGUUCACCCAUUGUUUUCUUCCAGUUCCUGUAAGAAUUCUAAGAUUCUCUAUACAGCUCAUAUGUAUCUGAUAUUAAAUGAUUUGAUAUAAGGUUGUAUUUUGUUUCUUCUGGCUAUUAACUGGCUGUAUCCUCAUGUAUAAUAUGAUUUGAUUCCUUGCUGUUCGCUCGCUGUAAUCCCUAGCAUAUUUACAUAGCACCAUGGAACAUCUUUGACAAUUUGCUGAUUGCUCUUGAACUUUUGAAGCCAGAGUUUGCCUAAGUAAUAAAUAAACUUUGCCUUUCUGAGUAAUCCAUUGAAGACUUGACUUGUUAAACACUGCUAAACCAGCACAAUCAUAAUAUCAUCAUGGGGUAUAUCCUGUAUCUGUGUAAUGGCUCAUUUCAUCCCAUCUUGUAUUUUACAUGCUCAUGCCAUAGUGUAUUUAACAACUUUGUGUAGUCCUGAUGUCCUACAGUUAGUUGUCCAAAGCUGACCAUACAUGGCAUACAUGGUAUCAUAUAAGACCUAUAUCUAUGCUGGGUACAUCUCUAUCCUUAUUUUACUUUUUUUCAUCUUAAGUUCUUUUUUGCUCCCUAUAGCCCAAUUCUUGAAAAAAUACUUAUAUUGGCCAAAAGUUACUGAUGACUAGAUUUUGCACAAACUGGCUGCAAUUUAUGGAACAUUUUUUUUCCUAAACACAAUGUAGACCUAAUACAUGCAAAUAAUUGUAUUUAUACCUGAAAUGUCUCCUGCAUAUACACCAUGGUCAUAGACAUAUGUAAGCAUAUAACAUCAUAUUAAAAUUAACUUGACUUAAUGUUAUCAUAUUCUUUUAGAGAACUUCAAUUAUACACAUAUAUAAAAUUAACAAAAUAGAUAAAAAUUACUUUUAACCACUUGACACUUACCUUGCGCAUGAAUACAGGUAAGGAGUAGCAGAAGGCCUCCUAUAGAAACUAAUAACCUCCUAUUUGUCCCCAUGUUGUGUGCAGUUCGGUUACUGGACACCGAACUGGGGAUCAUAGAAGGAGGAACAGAAGCUAAGGGUCUUAUUUGAUCCUUUUAUAGAGUAAGCCUAGAUAUGGUAGUGAGGAUUUUUGUAUAAAACGGGGUGGAGACAGUGUGGAGGAUAUUGGCACUGCCAACAUAUGGGACGUCCUAUUCUGUUAAGGAUAAAGGCUACAGAGAAACUGUUUGCAUUAUGGGAGGUGGUUUGAUUAAUGUAUGAAAGAAGUAUUAAAUAUAAUUCAUGAUGAACCUUACAAGAACGUACAUUUAUUUUGCUUUUUUUUUGUAGAUUUGUAUA